AUUGAACGCUGGCGGCAGGCUUAACACAUGCAAGUCGAACGGUAACAUAAAGAAGCUUGCUUCUUUGAUGACGAGUGGCGGACGGGUGAGUAAUGCUUGGGAAUCUAACUUAUGGAGGGGGAUAACUACGGGAAACUGUAGCUAAUACCGCGUAAUAUCGAAAGAUUAAAGUGUGGGACCUUCGGGCCACAUGCCAUAGGAUGAGCCCAAGUGGGAUUAGGUAGUUGGUGAGGUAAAGGCUCACCAAGCCGACGAUCUCUAGCUGGUCUGAGAGGAUGACCAGCCACACUGGGACUGAGACACGGCCCAGACUCCUACGGGAGGCAGCAGUGGGGAAUAUUGCGCAAUGGGGGCAACCCUGACGCAGCCAUGCCGCGUGAAUGAAGAAGGCCUUCGGGUUGUAAAGUUCUUUCGGUAGCGAGGAAGGCAUUUAGUUUAAUAGACUAAGUGAUAGACGUUAACUACAGAAGAAGCACCGGC
rnacentral:rRNA from 1 species